GAUGAACGCUGGCGGCGUGCCUAAUACAUGCAAGUCGAGCGAACAGACGAGGAGCUUGCUCCUCUGACGUUAGCGGCGGACGGGUGAGUAACACGUGGAUAACCUACCUAUAAGACUGGGAUAACUUCGGGAAACCGGAGCUAAUACUGGAUAAUAUAUUGAACCGCAUGGUUCAAUAGUGAAAGACGGUUUUGCUGUCACUUAUAGAUGGAUCCGCGCCGCAUUAGCUAGUUGGUAAGGUAACGGCUUACCAAGGCAACGAUGCGUAUCCGACCUGAGAGGGUGAUAGGCGACACUGGAACUGAGACACGGUCAAGACUCCUAGGGGAGGCAGCAGGAGGGAAUCUUCCGCAAUGGGCGAAAGCCUGACGGAGCAAAGCCGCGUGAGGGAUGAAGGUAUUCGGAUCGUAAAAAUCUGUUAUUAGGGAAGAACAAAUGUGUAAGUAACUAUGAACGUCUUGACGGUACCUAAUCAGAAAGCCACGGCUAAAUACGUG
rnacentral:rRNA from 1 species